rnacentral:rRNA from 1 species
AUUGAACGCUGGCGGCAUGCCUUACACAUGCAAGUCGAACGGUAACAGGUCUUCGGAUGCUGACGAGUGGCGAACGGGUGAGUAAUACAUCGGAACGUGCCCGAGAGUGGGGGAUAACGAGGCGAAAGCUUUGCUAAUACCGCAUACGAUCUCAGGAUGAAAGCAGGGGACCGCAAGGCCUUGCGCUCACGGAGCGGCCGAUGGCAGAUUAGGUAGUUGGUGGGAUAAAAGCUUACCAAGCCGACGAUCUGUAGCUGGUCUGAGAGGACGACCAGCCACACUGGGACUGAGACACGGCCCAGACUCCUACGGGAGGAAGCAGUGGGGAAUUUUGGACAAUGGGCGCAAGCCUGAUCCAGCCACGCCGCGUGCAGGAUGAAGGCCUUCGGGUUGUAAACUGCUUUUGUACGGAACGAAAAGACUCUGGUUAAUACCCGGGGUCCAUGACGGUACCGUAAGAAUAAGCACCGGCUAACUACGUGCCAGCCGCCGCCGUAAUAC